UACCAGCACCCCGAGUGGUCGGGACGAUUAUUGGGCCUAAAGCAUCCGUAGCCGGCCUUACAAGUCCUCCGUUAAAUCCAGCUGCUUAACAGAUGGGCUGCGGAGGAUACUAUAAGACUAGGAGGCAGGAGAGGCAAGCGGUACUCAGUGGGUAGGGGUAAAAUCCGUUGAUCCAUUGAAGACCACCAGUGGCGAAGGCGGCUUGCCAGAAUGCGCUCGACGGUGAGGGAUGAAAGCUGGGGGAGCAAACGGG
rnacentral:rRNA from 1 species